rfam:Triticum aestivum genome assembly, contig: Triticum_aestivum_CS42_TGACv1_scaffold_020788_1AS
GGAUGCGAUCAUACAAGCACUAAAGCACAGGAUCCCGUUAGAACUCCGAAGUUAAUCAUGCUUGGGUGAGAGUAGUACUACGAUGGGUGACCUCCUGGGAAGUCCUCGUGUUGCAUUCC